rnacentral:pre_miRNA from 1 species
CUGAUGAAGCUGCCAGCAUGAUCUAAUUAGCUUUCUUUUAUAUCCGUUGUUGUUUUUCGUGACGAUGGUUUAAGAGAUGAGUGUCGAUUAGAUCAUGUUCGCAGUUUCACCCG